rnacentral:rRNA from 1 species
CACGUAGGGUGCGAGCGUUGUCCGGAAUUAUUGGGCGUAAAGAGCUCGUAGGCGGUGUGUCGCGUCGGCCGUGAAAACCUGCAGCUUAACUGUGGGCUUGCGGUCGAUACGGGCAUCACUGGAGUUCGGCAGGGGAGACUGGAAUUCCUGGUGUAGCGGUGAAAUGCGUAGAUAUCUGGAGGAAUACCGGUGGCGAAGGCGGCAUCCUGGACCGGCAUUGACGCUGAUGAGCGAAAGCUAGGGGAGCAAACGGG